GCCUCGUUAUGCCCAUCACUGCCUCCUUAUGCCCAACACUGCUUCAUUGUGCCCAUCACUGCCCCAUUAUGUCCAUUGCUGCCCAUCACUGCCUCCUUACGCCCAUCACUGCCUUGUUAUGCCCAUCACUGCCUCCUUAUGUCCACUGCUACCCAUCACUGCUUGUUAUGCCCAUCACUGCCUCAUUCUGCCCAUCACUGCCUCAUUACGUCCAUUGCUGCCCAUCACCACCUCGUUAUGCCCAUCACUGCUUCGUUAUGCCCAUCACCGCUUCAUUAUGCCCAUUGCUGCUUGUUAUGCCCAUCACUGCCUCGUUAUGCCC
rnacentral:lncRNA from 1 species